UAAAGAAUUUCGGUAUGGGAUGGGGAUGCGUUCCAUUAGUUAGUUGGCGGGGUAACGGCCCACCAAGACAACGAUGGAUAGGGGUUCUGAGAGGAAGGUCCCCCACAUUGGAACUGAGACACGGUCCAAACUCCUACGGGAGGCAGCAGUGAGGAAUAUUGGUCAAUGGACGAGAGUCUGAACCAGCCAAGUAGCGUGAAGGAUGACUGCCCUAUGGGUUGUAAACUUCUUUUAUAUGGGAAUAAAGUGUUCCACGUGUGGGAUUUUGUAUGUACCAUAUGAAUAAGGAUCGGCUAACUCCGUGCCAGCAGCCGCGGUAAUACGGAGGAUCCGAGCGUUAUCCGGAUUUAUUGGGUUUAAAGGGAGCGUAGGUGGAUUGUUAAGUCAGUUGUGAAAGUUUGCGGCUCAACCGUAAAAUUGCAGUUGAAACUGGCAGUCUUGAGUACAGUAGAGGUGGGCGGAAUUCGUGGUGUAGCGGUGAAAUGCUUAGAUAUCACGAAGAACUCCGAUUGCGAAGGCAGCUCACUGGACUGCAACUGACACUGAGGCUCGAAAGUGUGGGUAUCAAACAGGAUUAGAUACCCUGGUAGUCCACACAGUAAACGAUGAAUACUCGCUGUUUGCGAUAUACAGUAA
rnacentral:rRNA from 1 species